CCUUAAUCGCCUCACCUUGGGAGGCAGUGCAGCUCUCCGCAAUUGCUUCUGGAAACGCGGUCACCAGUUUAAUUGGCAGAACGUGUCCUGGGCGAUGGUACCCGGUGAAGCAGCCUCGGGCCUGCCUGUUUCUCGGGUGGGCGGCUAUGCAGGCGCGCGGCUCACCCGCACGCGGGAGGCUCACCGGCCAGGGUGCGUCUGCGCCUGUGUCUGCCAACCUGAGCCUGCAGACGUGUCGGGGCUUCCGGGGACCAGGGAGUGCGGGGGACGCUGGGAUGAUGGGCAGGACAGACGGGAGCAGGCUGAGCCCCAGGGACUCCUCUGCCUCGGGGCCACGGAGGAGCCGGACGGGGAGGCGGCCACACUGGAUCACUGGGCCCCCGGAGGCCUGCCGCCCACGGACUCCCGGCACCGUGAAGACAGGCCGUCUGGUCCCUCCAGACCCCGUCCCCACACGAGGACUCCCACUGGAAAUGGCCCUCCAGCUGCCGAAGAAGAGAGCGCCAUUCCUAAGGGUCAGGGCUUCUGGCCGAUGGGCCUGCGCGCGCUCUUGUGAGUGACUACAUGCCCACACCCGUCCUUGCCAGCCGGCCAGAGACCCACAAAGAAGCAGUAGAAGAAGAUGCUGGACCUUCGAGCAUCCCAGGGCAAGGGCCGGGUACCUACAGUGGCAGUGGCCACUGGGUGCAAAGACAGCGGCCUGAGCACAGGGGUACCUGGCCACAGGUGCAGGACAGACAUCACUAUAAUAAAGAGCGUCCUCUCGGUUUUGUCCUUCUGGUCCAGGGGCUCUCAACGUGCAGCGAUGUUUCUUGCUCCCCAGGGACGCGGGACAGUGUCUGGAGAUGCUCUUGUCUGUCACAGUGGUGAGGGUGCGGCAUCUGGCAGGUAGAGGCCAGGGAGAACCGAGCAGGCUACCUGUUCAGAACUGCUCCCCACCCCCACCCCACCCCCAGCAAAACCAGAACGAUCUGGUCCGAAAGUCGGCAGUCUGAGUUUGAGAAACCCGGUGCCAGUCUGACCGGCCCAUGCCUUAUGACUUUUAGCACAGCAGCGGGGAGAAUAUUAAACCUACAUCCCGGGGCGGGGGUGAGGGGGUUGGGGGCGGGAGGACCGGAGGUUACCCUGGACUCUUUGAGGGUGGAGGAGGGGAGAACCCUGCAUUCCUUUAGCCAUCUCUGGUCCACAGCUGCCCCCACCCCCCAUAAACGCACCAGCCCCGUGCCCACACCCUGCCUCUUUCCCUCCCUCCGCGUCCUUUCCCCAAGCAACCAAAUUCAGCCAGAGGCACCCUACGCUCUCCCCCCGGGG
ensembl:lncRNA